CCCUUAGAUGUUCUGGGCCGCACGCGUGCUACACUGAUGCAUUCAGCGAGUCUAAAACCUGGUCUGAUAGGGCUGGGUAAUCUUUUGAAAGUGCAUCGUGAUUGGGAUAGAUGAUUGCAAUUCUUCAUCUUCAACGAGGAAUGCCUAGUAAACGCAAGUCAUCAGCUUGCAUUGAUUACGUCCCUGCCCUUUGUACACACCGCCCGUUGCACCUACCGAUUGGAUGGUCCGGUGAAGCCUCGGGAUUGUGGUUCUUGCCGCUUUAUUGUGGCGUGACCGCGAGAACUUGUCUAAACCUUAUCAUCUAGAGGAAGGUGAAGUCGUAACA
rnacentral:rRNA from 1 species